UGAAGCUUUGUCCCCAGCCCCUCACAGAAAUCAUCCCAAUAAUUCCAAUCACCAAGAUUGUGGAAGCCAUGGGCACCAUGAGCUACAAAGUCCAAGAAAUCAUGGAACCUGUAGGAAAGAGAAAGCCUAAUGAAGUCCCAGCAGCACGCACUAUACUGAAAUGCUGAUUAAGCCAUGGGCACGUUUUCAUCAAACGGGAAAGUUUGUGAAGUGCCAUUCAAACAUGGGUCCUACAGGUCCUCUCCCCUCCUCCUCCCUCUUAAUUUCAUCUCAUCUUGGAAGAGCCAACUGCAAGAGGUGGAUGAAAAAGGAAGGAGCAAGGACUGCUCGAGGUCUAGCUUACCUGACCUAUUAUGCCUCUGUCCUUCUAAUCCAGUCCCACAAGAUGUUGCUGUGGAUGUCAGUAGCAUCUGCAGUGCUAUGGAGAUCAGCAUUGACUUGAGAGUCAGUGAAACGUCGCCUGAUGAUAUAGCCUCCAUGGACCCUCCCAGGAUGGGAAAAUCAGGGAUGAGAAUGACAGGGGCAAGUCCCCUGAGGAACCAUCACUGGGUCCUAUCAUCAGCGAUCACCAGCCCCAGGUGGCACCCACAGCCUCUGGCACCAGUAGACGAAGGGCAGAAAGGAGGAGAGGAGGCAGAUUGUUCACUUGCUUCAUACUCUAUGUUGUUACCUCUCUAUCUUGGAGAAAACAGUGCAUUUCCCAGGUAAGAGACAACAACCAGAAGAAUGUGGUGUGGUAGGAAAUGCAGCAAAGGCAUGACCACCAACAUUCACUUGUGUGUUUGAUCUUUGCUUUUUAAAUGCCCCAUCCCACUGGUAGGCUGCACCCAUGCCUAGGUGCACAGAUCCUAAGAUGUCUGUGACCCUUAGAAGGAGCUUUCUUCCUGCAUCCCCCUUGUGUGGAUUCUGGGGAAGUUGAGCCAGCAGCAGACAGCAGAGGAUGUGACCAGGGGCUAAGGAAGGAGGAAGGAGGGAGGAGGGCUUGGUGGAAUGGGGCACAGGUUCAGGAGUGAGGAGUCAGGUGGAGGGCUAUGGUAGAGCAAGGUAGCUCGGUACAAAGUCCUGUCUGUGCCAGUUUUACUAACAGAGUCCUUUUCUUGUGUCUUCUUUCAAGGGGUAGAAACAGCCCCAGGUCUGUGGUCAUCAAACCACAGGGCUGGGGUCAGCCUGGUAUGGACUGAGAGCUACAGGAAGGAGCCAAGCCAGAACUCCAGGAGACUGUAUGCUCAAAUGCCUAUUUCCAGACAGACUCCCCUGGGAAUGAGGGCACAAGCUCCUCCACCCCCUCCCCUAGCUGCCGGGUCUGAGCUAACAGCUCCCGCCUCCUUUAGUUCACUGGGUCUCCAGUACUGUUGUCCGGAGAAGGACGUGGUCCACAUGGCUUCCACCUUAUGAAGCUACGAUCCUCCAGUAUAGGUGGGAUGGAACACCCACAGUGACAGAACUGAGUGCCCCGCUGGACUCAGGGACCUUCGUCAGCUUGUCCCCUCAUCCUCACCAACAUUAUCACUAACUGCUGCAGAAACUAGGUAAGCCUAGCAGGAUGAUGACUGGCUAGAAGGGCAGAGAGAAGAGGAGAGAGGGGCAAAUGGGACACGGGGAAGACAGAAAGGGAAGACCAGAGGCGGAAAGGGCAUGAAGCACAGUAAAGGAAAAGGGGGACUGUCUGUUCAGAGGAAAUUCUAGUCAGGCAUCUGGAAGGAAAAGGAUGAGUGUUUUGUGUGGGGACAGGGGCCAUGAACAAGCAGGAGCAAACUUCUCUUGAAGAGGAGAGUUGGGGGUGCAGGGCAUGGGUACCUGCGGGGGUUCCUGCAAGUGUUAUGGCCUUCAUGCCCUCUAUAGGCACCCAUGAGGAAAGGAGGGUUUCUUCCUGGUGGGUUCCAGCAUGUGCCAGGUGCAUUAGUAGGAUGUUGCCUUGCAAAGCUGCUCCUGUCCUGGGGUGCUGAGGCAGGAUGGGGCUGUAGAGAAGGGAAAACUCAUCCUUCACUGAUGCCUCCUUCUUCUUGUGCUUGACCCAACCUUGGGAUGACCUGGUAACAUUUGUGUCUUUGUUUUCUUCACAGUUCCCUUCCUCUAAGCACCAAAGGUGUUGGUCCCCUGUGCCAGGAUUCCAGAAACUGGUAGAAGUUUUCCUAUCCCACUGAGGGAUUUCUUGUCCAUCAUUUUGACUAGGCUUUUGAGUUCUUUUCUGUGACACCUAGGCAGGAUAAGUAGAUAUUCAGACCUGGGACCCAGCAUUGCUUCUACAAGGCCAGCAGCUGUGAGACUACUUUGUGCCCAAUGUCUUAGAGAUCAGGCUUAAAAGGAAAUCUUGAUCACUAUGUAGCUGCAGAUGUCAGCCAUUGAUGCUGCGUAGAUCCCUGCUGAGUGAGGUGUUAGGUGGGGUGUCUGUAGUGUUCUCCUGGGCACCUUCCAGGUAGGAAUUGGCUACCAGAGUCAGCAGGGGAGUUAAUCUGUGGGGAUCACACCACUGAACAUCAUUUUAAUUCUGCUGUGUGUCUGCUUCCGGUAGAAGAUGUUUCUGAAGCCUCAUCUUGUCUUAACAUCUGCCCAAGUGAAGAGAAGGGGAGAUCACGUGGCUGAUCUCAUCCUCCCCACACCAGAGGGAAAGAGGUCACUGGAUUUCUUUUCUGAAGAACCUAGGAUGACUGAGAAACUGCUGAGGUGUGGCUAGGUGUGAUCUGUUGUGCUAGGCAGCAGGUCUCCAGAUCACGGUGGAACACAGGGUCACAUUGAGAGUGGCCAAAUCAUCUUCUCACUAGCACAGUAUGAAGGCCAUGCUAUCACCUGCCAGCCACUGCAUGGCAUCACGCUCUAGGACCUGACUACCAUGUGAUUCCCAUAUGGCCCCACAUGGGACACAUGGCCAGUGACACUGAGCAUCUUGCUUGUGGGGUCAGAGCAGGUUUUGGGUGUGUGGGUGUUCACUGGGGCAGACCUUUGCUGCUUCUUCGGAUUAAUGAAGCCAAGGCUGGGAAGUGGGGUGGGUUCUGUGGCCCUCUUGGGAAUGAGUGAGGGGAAUCCAGCACCAGGUGCAGGUCUCAGAAGGGAGAGAGGGUUAUUCCCUGGGCUGUAAGGAAGUGCUCUCCAGGGGGUUGGCAUGCUUUGUUAUGUCAUGACCAUGGACAUGCUUCCCUGUAGUCAAGGAACAUCAGGAACCAUUCACUGCAAAAGAACACAGAAUUUGAGUUCAUGUCCCUCUGGCCUCCUCACUUGGUCUGCACACUCCGCCCACCCAUUCUUACAGGACAUUGGCAUGUCAUUGAAAACUGUUAUUUCAGUGGCCGCUGUUACCCUUUGUUCUGGUCCUGUGGGAAGGGUCCCUUGUUCAGUGGGUGGCAUGCAGCCCAUGGCCACAAGCCUCAGGAUGGAUGGAGCCUUCUUUAGGCCUGGGCCAAAUGCAGUUCUCAAGUGUGAAGACAGUCAGCUGAUUCCCUGAAUUAUUUCUCCCUUUCUCUGCAAGGAUCACCCUUCCCAGUUGCAGAGGACAGAGUGUCCAGGGGGCCAUAAACUUUCUGCACAUUCUCCAGACAGACUUUUGGCUUGCUACCUGAGAGCAGAGAAAUAGCUUCUCCAGACAAUCUUGAAAGGGUUUGAGAAUGUGUCCUCUGAUGAGCCCCGCAAAGCCAAUGUAUAGCUGUGCCUGCCCUCUGGACAGAUCACCUGGGGAAGGGCCGUGUCUCUCUCCCUCCUGUCCCAGGACACUGCUAAUGUGAAUAUGAGGAACUUGAGAACAUCCAUAUGGACAAUCUCUCGUUGGCCUUCUCAGGACUUGGCCUGCCCUGAAGGAGCCACAGCUCAGUCAGGCUGCAUUUGAGAUCACAAGUUUUAACUAAACACAGAGCACAGUAGCUAAUGCAUGCUGUUGGUGACUACCCAGAUGGUUUAGAAGACACUGCAAUUGAACUCCAAGGGCUCUCAUGUCCAUGAGUGCCAAGACAAAUCAGGCAGAUGGUGGUACACAAAGAGACAGAAAGAUUGAAUACUUGCAGCAGGGUUAGUGACACAGUUCUGAAAGCUCCUUUUGUGGGGACUGCUGUUACCCUUUGUUCUCAUCCCACAAGAAGAGGGCCUGGCGUCAGGGAUGGUGCCCAGCUCCCAGCUCCCAACAGAACCCUCAUCUUCAGGGAAUGGUCAACUGCACUGCAUGAGUGUGACGGUGCAUGGCUGUUUCCAUGUACUGCUUCGCUUUCUCUGCAAGGAUCUGUCUCCCCACUUGUAGAGCACAGAGGUGUCCAGGUGUCAAUAACUGUCCCCAUACAUCCCCCAGGCUCCUUUCUGCUGCUACAGGACACCCUCCGUUGGGGCGCGUUCUGUCAGGUCUCAAGUUUCUUCCCACCCUGGAAUGCCUGCAAACCCAAUGGGAAACAGUAGUAUCAUUAGACACGCCAAACUCUGAGCGCCUCUCAUUGUGAGGUUUGCAGCUUAUCCUCUCCGCAUUUUUUAAAGUUAGACUCCAUUUGCUUAGUAAAACUUUCCCAGAAAAAACAAACAAACAAAAAACAAAAACAAAAACAAAAACAACCACCCUUUGUCCUAAGGAAUGAAGACAAUGAAGGAGAAACAUGGAACUAACUGUCUGGGUCUUCUGUGGGUCUCCUCCAGGAAUCCUGUGAGCCACAGGGUUCCCCUCUCUCUAUACUGCUGCUGCAUGCACACAGUUCGGAGUCAUCUAUCCCACAGUGUCCUCUGAUGUAGUCCAGCCAUAAUCUAAGGAGUGGCUGUAGCUUAGGCCACAGCACAUCAACCUUUCUUGUACCUUUGGAAGUGCAAAUGAGAGGUGCCAGAUCAUUAGACCCAUGCUGCUAGCUAUGGUGUGCAGGGUGCUGUGGAGUCCUAGACAGGUUGGAGACUGGAUCAUGGACAGAAACCUUCAAAAACUGGGGCCCAAAUCACUCUUUCAUGGUUGUAAAUUGAAUAUCUCAGGAUUUGUACAUCGAAGGAAGGCUGACUGGCAUACUUGUCUCGUUGGAGGAAGACAUUGUAUGGAAUUUCCCUCCAAAUAGCUUAAGGAAGGGACUCUGAGUGGUGCAAAUGCAGAGAAGAAAGGGUUUGGACUGUAUCGUCCCCUGCAAGCAGUUCAGGGAGCCCAAGGUCUGCAGCCUCUGUGGACUGUCACCCAAGUUUGGGUGGGCUUUCUGGUGAUAGAAAUGUCUUUUUUUCCUAAGAGUCAUUGCUGUACCUUGUGCAGAACCUCUCAUCAAUAUUCCUGGUUGUAACCCCAAUAAAACUUCAUUGUCUCACCAAAUAGAA